GUGGCCUCAGCGUGGGCAGAGCAGCAGAGAGGAGCCAGUUACUCAGAGGACAGAUGCUUCAUGGAAGCCUCCAACACAAGCAGUCGACCUCUAAAGCCUCCAACAGCCUUUUCCAAGCAACAGAAUUUUCGCAAGGAACACAUACUAGCAUCUUGUGGAGCAUGUUCUGUGUAACUCGCUGUGUAGGCUGUUUGAGAGGAUUACAUGAGAUGCUAACCACAUGACUCCCAGCACAGCUCCCAGCACACGCAUCGUGGACACCCAGCACGAAAGAAGGACCACAUAAGGUGGAAUUAAAGAAGUGUGUCCUUUGGAAGCUGAAAGGUGGCCCUGAUCCCCAUUGUGAGUGAAAGUGUGAAUGCCUUCCAGAAUUUCUUCCAGAACUUGUACCUAGAGUGCAGAGAGUGGAAGGGAGGAGAGAGACACAGAGAAAGGAACAUCGAUGUGAGAGAGAUACACUGAUUGUUUGCCUCCGACAUGAGCCCUGACCAGGGCCGAGGAUCAAGCCUGCAACUGAGAUAUGUGCCAUUGACUGGAAUCGAACGCAGAGCCCUUCAGUCCGAGAGCCAACAUUCUAUCCACUGAGCCAAACUGGUUAGGAGGAAAGUAAGUCCUUUUGACAUGAAUCACACCACCACCCUUCCCGCACUGCAGAUGUCAACCUCUACCCUACUUAGAUGCGGCAGUCCUUGGAAAAACCCAGAACAGAAACUUCCCUGCCAAGUGAAGAGUUGCUCACUGGAGUGGCUUCAGGAAAUGCAAAUCGAAUGUCUGUUAGUGGUAUUUAAAGACAUGAAGGGUUUCUAUGUGUGUUAAACUGAAAAUAUGA